AAAGAUUUAUCGGUGUAAGAAGGGCUCGCGUCUGAUUAGCUAGUUGGAAGGGUAAAGGCCUACCAAGGCGACGAUCAGUAGCCGGUCUGAGAGGAUGAACGGCCACAUUGGAACUGAGACACGGUCCAAACUCCUACGGGAGGCAGAGUGGGG
rnacentral:rRNA from 1 species